rnacentral:rRNA from 1 species
GAUGAACGCUAGCUACAGGCUUAACACAUGCAAGUCGAGGGGUAACAAGAGAAAAGCUUGCUUUUCUUGUUGACGACCGGCGCACGGGUGCGUAACGCGUACCCAACCUGCCUAUAACGAGGGAAUCACCUUGCGAAAGUAAGACUAAUGCCAUAUGACUUCCUUUGGCGGCAUCAAAAAAGGAAUAAAGACUUAUCGGUUAUAUAUGGGGAUGCGUCUGAUUAGCUUGUUGGGGGGGUAACGGCCCACCAAGGCAACGAUCAGUAGGGGUUCUGAGAGGAAGGUCCCCCACAUUGGAACUGAGACACGGUCCAAACUCCUACGGGAGGCAGCAGUGAGGAAUAUUGGUCAAUGGGCGGAAGCCUGAACCAGCCAAGUAGCGUGCAGGAUGACGGCCCUAUGGGUUGUAAACUGCUUUUAUACAGGGAUAAGGUUAGCCACGUGUGGUUAUUUGCAGGUACUGUAUGAAUAAGGACCGGCUAAUUCCGUGCCAGCCGCCGCAGUAAAAC